rnacentral:rRNA from 1 species
UACGUAGGGCGCAAGCGUUGUCCGGAAUUACUGGGCGUAAAGCGCGCGUAGGCGGCUUUGCAAGUCGGGUGUGAAAUCCCCAAGCUUAACUUGGGAACUGCAUUCGAGACUGCAUUGCUAGAGUAUGGGAGAGGGAAGUGGAAUUUCCGGUGUAGCGGUGAAAUGCGUAGAUAUCGGAAGGAACAUCAGUGGCGAAAGCGACUUCCUGGACCAAUACUGACGCUCAUGUGCGAAAGCGUGGGGAGCAAACAGG